AGGCUGCUGAAGCACAGCAUGUGAAUUUAACCACUCAGCCACAGGGCCGGCCUCCAUACCAUCACUUCUGCCAUAUACUGUUGGUCACACAGACCAAGUCUGGUACAAUCUGGCAGGGAAAUGUGAAUACCAGGAGGAAGAUUAGGCCUGAGCUAACAUCUACCACCAAUCCUCCUCUCUUUGCUGAGGAACAUUGGACCUGAGCUAACACCCAGGAUCUGAACCGGUGGACCACAAGCCGCUGAAGCGGAACAUGCGAACUUAACCACUGCGCCAUCAGGCCGCCCCCUUACCUGUAUUUUCUAAUUCUCUACAAUGCAUAUAUACUACUUCUAUAAUAAUAAAUGGUACUUUUUCAACGGA
rnacentral:lncRNA from 1 species